rnacentral:sRNA from 1 species
AUUUGCGUGACGCAGUAUCUCUAGUCAGGCGACUACUCUCUAAGACGGGCCUAAAAAUCCGUUAAAGGGCAUAUCGAUGAAGUCUCUGGUGCCUGCUUCUUACGCCCAGUUUGGGGUGGGUGCUGGGGGUUAAGGCUUUAGGGCGCGUUUCAAUGGCAUGAAAUACCGACCCUAUUGCCGUGGAGACCCGACUCUGUGGGCCACCUAUAGCAUUCUCCGUGAAUUGAUGGAUGACCUACGGACCGGGGUGAAACCUGUAUUGCGGUGCGGCGAAAGACGUAUCCGGGCGACCGGCCAGUCGCUCUCUUACGCCGCCUCAAAGCGCUGUGUGCAGAGUAGCCUGCCUUGAGUGGUUAUGGUGGAUUCGAUACCCACUCGCCCGCUUAUGGCCAUAAGCCGGGCGAGCAUUGAUCGAUGAAACCAUGGCUGCAAAAGAGGCUAAGGAGUAGCUUUGUCCUGUUGUGGAAAUCACCUAGACUGUCUGAAAUACGGGCAGGCGCGGGAUUGCAGUGCGGACUGAGUGGCAAUUCGGUCCCGGAAGUGGCAACACUCCGGCUCGAACUCUAAGGGGAAACCACCGGAGCGGCGACGCACGGCAGUUCGCGGGGAAAUCCAACCGAACCUAAGCCGCAAGAUUUACCGGGCCUGCUGUCACAUUCUUUUGUUU